rnacentral:lncRNA from 1 species
GAAAGGAAAGGCGAGGAGAGGGAGUGGGGUUGGGGGUGAGGGGAAGAACUGAGAAGACUGGACUUCUACUCCUAUAACUCUAAACAGAGGCAACCGUUGGGGUGGCGCUUUGGGGGAAGAAUCCAAUUUCAGCUCAUGAUGGGCAACUGAAUCCCGAACUUUCUUUCUUUUUUCUUUUUUAUCCUUAUAUAUAUAUAUAUAUAACUAAAUAGAACUANACUUUUCUUUUUUUCUUUUUUUUAUUUUCUUAUAUAUAUAUAUAUAUAUAUAUACAUAUAUCGAAAUCAAUCUCAUUAAAAUUUUUAAGCCCCCUUUGCCUUUAUAUGCAGAGCAGAGAACAGUUGCAACAUCU